GGCACUUAACGGUUUAGCUCCUGUGUACCUAACUAGUCUUCUACCACGCUACAAUCCAUCAUGCUCCCUAAGGUCUCAAAACUCUGGACUGUUGGUAGUUCCUAGGAUAGCAAAUCCACUAAAGGAGGUAGAGCUUUUUCACAUUUGGCACCCAAACUCUGGAACAGCCUUCCUGAUAACGUUCGGGGUUCAGACACACUCUCUCUGUUUAAAUCUAGAUUAAAGACACAUCUUUUUAGCCAAGCAUUCAAAUAAUGCAUCUCAUAAACUUUUUCUGCAGCUAUAUCUGAUCAAAUGUUCAUUUUAAUCUUUUAGCUCUGGUUUAACAAACCUUCCUUUUCUUAGUUUGAACAGCAGCUACGCUAAUUAUGUUCCUAUUUGUUCUCUGUUUUUGCCAUGGGAUUGACAUCCCAUGGUAACUAGGAAUUCACAAGCUCCAGUGUGGAUCCAGAACACUUAAGAAAAGAUGAUGCCAGCCCUUCAGAGGACUUCAGAUGAUGCCAACCCUGAUGCCAACCCUGAAAACAUACAGCACUACCAAAUUCUGCUACAAAUUUAUAGUGUUCUUUGUCUGUUUGAUUACGUCAUUAAUUGAUCUUUACCACACAUCUCUACCAUAUGUACAUCAAGCUACUACUACAUAUAUUGUAAAAAUGUCAAUUUGGUGUAAAGCUGCUUUGCAACGAUAUGUAUCGUGAAAAGCGCUAUACAAAUAAAUUUGAAUUGAAUUGAA